GACGGUAAAUGUACCAUAAAUUCACAGUGUCGACAAAUGAUCGUCGAAUGACCGUCACUUGACUAUCGAACGGCCGUCAUUUGACAGUGAACGACGAGUAUCAUUGUGAAAGUUUUUCACUGUUACUUUAUGAUUUUUAUUCUGUAUAGUUAUCAUACUUCACUAUUCGAAAAACCAAAUUUUUACUCGACUUCUCCGAUUUUUUACCUGAGUAAAAAUCGUAGAUCAUCGAUCGAUCGUCUGUCAUUUGACAGUCAUUCGAAAACAUAUAAAUUGUCAAAAAACCGUAACUCGGUGGUAGAUGCACAGUAGUCUGUGAGUGAAACGAGCGUAUAAUGUCGGUCUAUAGAAACCUCGCGGUUUCAAAUCACCGUUGUUCCACCAAAGGUACUGCAGUGAAACCACGGUGGAAAACUGAGUAACCACGGAUCAACAGGAAGAAACUACUUACGGUCAUGAUUAUUGCACGCCACUGUGCAGUUGUACAACUAUAAUACGUGGAGAAGCUUUAUUAAUGACGCUUUUGUUAGGAGCAGAACGUUCCCUCACAUGGAAGGCGACUAGGGCAAUUUUAUCAAUGAUUAAUACUUUGUUUGGAGACGAAGUAGUGCCAGCUUCAAAGAUUAAAUUAUUUAAAUUAUUAAAUUUGAAUGAAAAUAUUGUAACUUAUCAUUUGUUCUGUGAAGGAUGCUCAAAUUAUUUUGGUGCUCAGAAUAAAUUAGACAAAAAAAAUAAAGUAUGUGAUGUAUGCAAAGACAACAACAAUCCUCCAGAAAUUUCAUAUUUUCUGACUUUCGAUGUUUCUUCACAACUAAAAAAUAUAUUAGAACAUGCAGAUGUGCGAAAAUUUUUAUUACAACGUUUUGCAAAUGAUGUCGAGAAUAAUUCAGAAAAGAAUUAUAUCUGUAAUAUGAGUGAUGGACGUUUGUACCAAAAUUUAUCAGCAGUGAACAGAACAAUAUGCAAAUAUUGUUCAAAAUAAUAACAAUUAUUCCAUCUCUUACAGACACACCAACAAUCAGAUCUACUGUAAAAUCGCCUUGUCCAUCAAACAAAAUUGGAUUUUGGAAACAAAAUAGAGUGCGAAAAAAUUUAAUUGCACGUGUGUAGUAAAGAAAAACUUGGUUUGAACAAUCUUAGAUUUACUUAUUUAAUUAUUAACUCGAUGGAAUAGUAUAGUUUUAAAAAAUUCCAUUAUUUGUAUGUGUUUUUUAUAGUUUUGUAAGUGAAUUUUUUUAAGUUCAUCAUAUAAUAAGUAGGAUUUAGAGUACUUUUCGCAAAAUGAUAUGCUUAUAUUACAUCAAAGAGAAUUAGAGAAUAAAACUUUGUCAAAUAAUGACUUAAUUUUGCGUUCAUAGCAUAAACUAUAAUGACUUUUAUAUUAUAAAAUUGUUACUAUAAUUA